rnacentral:rRNA from 1 species
UUCGGCCUACGGGACGCAGCAGUGAGGAAUAUUGGUCAAUGGGCGGAAGCCUGAACCAGCCAAGUCGCGUGAGGGAAGAAGGCCCUGCGGGUCGCAGACCUCUUUGGACGGGGAGCAAGGCCGCCGACGUGUCGGCGGAAGGAGAGUACCCGUAGAACAAGCAUCGGCUAACUCCGUGCCAGCAGCCGCGGUAAUACGGAGGAUGCGAGCGUUAUCCGGAUUUAUUGGGUUUAAAGGGUGCGUAGGUGGUUAAUUAAGUCAGCGGUGAAAGUUUGUGGCUCAACCAUAAAAUUGCCGUUGAAACU